GUACGGUAAUAAACGUAAGUGGACUUUUAUGUUUAUUUUAAUGCUAAAUGCUUUGUUCAUGUGCGUACGUCAGCUGAUGUACCCAAAGGAUAACUUGACUUAAUUUAGUUUUAAAGGUAAAAAAAAAAAGGGUAUAAAACACAUACACUCAUACAUCUAAAGGGAUACAUUAUACAUUAGCUUUGGCACAAACAGGCAUUUAUCUAUAAUGGAAGAUAAAUUCUAACAGAGCACAGAUGAACGAGUUUUUUUAAACACAGCAAUUUACACAUACAUACAAACAUAUAAACGCACAACCAAACACAAAAAGCAUUACCGUGUACCUGAUGAGCGUAAGUGGGAAAAGAGGGAAAGGAAAAAUGGAAAUUUUAAAGAAUUUUUUCUUGUUGUCAUUUCUGUUCAUUGUUGGGCUGAUUGCAAGUUUAGUCAAACGACAAAUUAAUAGGGCAAAGAGAAGUUUGCGUGACCAAGAAAUUUACUGAUUAAGCAGAAUAGCCAAAGAAUUUAAAGGUCAUAAUAAAGUAAUAUAAUAAUAAUAUCAACGGUGUGCAAAGGAUGUACAAACAACAACAACAACAACAAAAAAAACACUACGCAUUAUCAUCAACAAGAGCAGUUUUUGCCCAGACACCAGGUUCACUUUCACCGGAAAAGCAGAGAAACCGACACGCAACAUCCAUGCAAUGUUCUUACUUCUAUUAAUUAAUUUCAUAUAUUUUUAUAUGCACCGAAUAGAUAGAUAUAUAAAGACGAAAUGACGUUAAUAAUACUAAUAAUAAUAAUAACUAAGAGAUAUUAAGGCACUGACAAAACUAUUGCUGCAAAUAUCUUUAAUUGUAUCAAUUUUUCUUUUACAGUUAACGUCCAUAAGAGCAAAGUAUCGCUUAGAAAGAAAUUUGCGAACGAUAAGAGAAAUAUUAUUAAUUAACAACAUUUUCAGGUUUUUCGUCCGCAAAUUGUGUACUCUGAGUGACUAUUAUACAGAGCAACUUUAUCGAAUUGAAUUAGUUUUCCUUCUUCAUCGUGCAUUGACGCUAUUAAUGAUCCAUAGUGAUUGUGAUGUUAUCGUUUCCUUCCUCCAAAGCCUACACACAAAUAUGUCGACAGAUAAAUUCCCUCAUAAGACCAAAAUCUCAAAGUAAACCAUUGAACGCGUACUUUGCAUGAAAAAUCUGGAUUCUUUUCCGACUUCUGAUGAAAGAUUGCAAUCAAAAUUAUAACCGAUCCUCGAUACCCCAUUUAAGGAAGAGAUCACAUCGUUUAAAUACUUCGUACACUUUGGUUGUGGCGCAUCCGUACCAAAAGGUGCGGAGAGAAAUGCAUAUGAACUUUUCUUAGAUACAAAACCUUACAUUUCUUCAUUCCGCUAAACACUAAUGAAAACUGUGUUCUGUAACUUAUCGCCAAUUCCCCAAAUAUAACCUAAACGGUAGCGCUGUUCGUUCUUUUUCCACCCACUGCCCAAACUGCUCUAUAAAGAUCACACAACUUUUAUGUUCAAUCUUUGCAUUGAUUUCCAAAUUUGAAUAUGCGUAGCAUGCCUUUUCGUUACACAUCACGUAGAAAGCAGUCUGAACUUUCGUUGCUGCCUCUACGUGACACAUUGAUAUGAAUAUCGUUGUGCGGAUAUAUAUAUAACGUGCCGUACAACUUAAUCAGUUUCUGAAUCUUUAUAUUUUUGCCAUACGAUCUAAAGUUCGCAAUUACUAACAUGUUUUGAGAUAUUCGGCCCACUUUUUCGAUCGCUGCCAAUGCAACGGCAUAUUUUGAAAAUUUCUCAUAGGAAAAAUAUUUUGACAAUUUCUCAAUGAAAAUCGCUGAGCAAUAGCGUUUCCGGUAAAUGCGUUAGAAAUGUUUUGAUCGAAUGCGGCAAUUUUUUGUCCCGCCUACCAUACAAACGUACAUACUACGCAAACGUAAUUUUUUUUUAUAUGGAAAAGGUGUAACUUUCAAUAUUUCAUAAAGAAAACUAAUUGAUUAUAACCAUUUGAUAUAAAAACUAACCAUGUUAGUUGAAGUUUCGAGCCUCCUUCAAUAUGAGAGCUUCCACAAAAGGCAUGCCUUUGAAUAUAAGUAAUUUAUAAUUAUUGGUAUAUUAUCAUGAAAAUGAUUUAUUUAUUAGGCAAAGUGGUGUAGAGUGUCUAAUGGUCGCGCUUGCCAGGCAAUAAUGUUCUUACUUGUUUGUUUCCAUUUCGUUUGCUAGUGAAUAAAUGGUUUAAACUAACAGUGUUCAGUCCACGGUUCAAUCACGUUAAAUACUCCAUUUUUCAGUCGACUCGACUACAUGUGCAAUUUAACGUACAAAGUUAACUCAGUUAGCGUUCCUACAGUACGACAUUCCGAGCAGGCGUAGAUCAUUUUUUCCUACACUAGAAUUGCAACCUCACUAUACAAAACCCAGUGAAGUUUUCGUGUCUUUUCUUACAAGAUGUAGAAGACAAUAUGAGAUUUCAUUUAUCGCACAUACAGGCUAUACGGUCUAUAUACCAUCAGUGUCAAUAACAUGUCUAAAAGCAAAGCAAGGAGAAAAGUGAAUCACGAAUCUACCCUAACGCAAUUUUUGAUCGCUUUUUUUAUACCUACCAUCGAAGGAUGGGGGAUAUACACACUUUAUCAAAACGUUUGCAACGCCCAGAGAAAAGCUUCAACAACCCAACAAAGUAUAAGAAUCUUGAUCAGCAUCAAAUUCUGAGUCGAUUUAAGUAUGACCGCCUGUUCGUCUAUCCGAUUGUCC